UUAGUACGAGAGGACCGGGAUGGACAUACCUCUGGUGCACCAGUUGUCGUGCCAACGGCAUAGCUGGGUAGCUACGUAUGGACGAGAUAAACGCUGAAAGCAUCUAAGCGUGAAACUCCCCCUAAGAUGAGAUCUCUCACUUCGUAAGAAGGUAAGGGUCCAGGAAGACUACCUGGUUGAUAGGCCGGAGGUGGAAGUGCAGUAAUGUAUGGAGCUGACCGGUACUAAUAACCCGAGGGCUUGACCUAC
rnacentral:rRNA from 1 species